rnacentral:lncRNA from 1 species
AUGCAAACUGUAACACAAGGGCCAUUAACCCUUUCUCUGCCGAGCACACUCAGUCCCCACGCCCCGCACCUAUUGUCUCCUGUGCUAGAAGCUUUGCAGAAAACCUGGAAAUUUUGGCCAGAAAUGGUGAGAAGAAAAAGCAUGAAGAAGCCGCGAAGUGUGGGGGAGAAAAAGGUGGAAGCGAAGAAACAGCUCCCGGAGCAAACUGUACAAAACCUCGCCAAGAGUGUCGGGAGGCAGGACCGUUAUUCCUGCGGAGCAGGAGAGAGAGGAGAGACCCUGAAACACGCGCCACCUAUCUUUGUGGGGAGGGAUAAUUGA